UGGUAAAUCAAAAAUUAGUUAAAACAUUUAAUUUUAAAUUAAAUGCAAUAACGAAGUUUAUUUGGGAUGAUAAUGUGCCUGAUUCAAAUAUGCACCAGGACAUUUCUUAUAGUGAGAUAUAAAACACCCAAUAAAGUCUUUUUUUAGCUUGUUCUGGCUUCAUCUAUAAAAGAUGUUACAUGUAAGCAGACAAGACUUAUAAAAAACUUUUUUAUACAACUUUGGCAAGUCCAGCAACCAGUUCCUCUUCAGAAACACUUACAGUAACAGCCCAGGGACUUGUAAACAUGCCUUUGGUUUCCUGACAGACUGAUAAAAUCCUGUGCAUCUUGAUUCCAAGAAAUUGUGUAAAACCAGACAGAUUUGUGCAGUAUGCAUCAGUCAGUCUGUGAACAGUCCAUGAGCAUAUCUGCGACUGACACUAGUGUUACAGAGCGGCACACACACACACACACACACACAGACUCACACACACUUUUUUGUGCUGUUUAAAGGUCACCUCAAAUGCCCUGUCUUGUCUUUAUCUUAAUUUCAAAUCUGCUUUGAUUUAUUUCAUCCUUUGAGUUUUUUCUCAUCCUUUUCCUUUCUCUGACUUUUGUACCGGUCUCUGUAGCUGUACUUUCAGAGCAAUCGUAAUUGAAUAACCUUUACAUCAAUAGAGAAACACUCUUUGCUCCUCUUCAAAGGGUCAUUGAGAUGAAACACUGCCUAUUGUGUGUCUUCAUGGUUGCUUUAAUGAACUGUUCUUCGAUGAUUGUUUCAGUUGUAGUUCUCAGCGCUCACCUCUCAGAAAGUGGCUCCAGACCGUUCAAGCACGACAGCCGUAAUGAACUUAAUAACCGUGAAAUGAAGUUUUGUGAUCUAUGGAGAGGAGUAGAGUUUCUAUCAGAUCUGUGCCAGAUUUUGACAGUGUAAAUGUAGCCUGUUCUCAGAUCUCGGGCCCUCGGCUCCACAGAUGAAUCGUGGGCUGUGAUCUUCGUCCCUGGCAGGGCUUCAGCUCGCCCUCAUGUCUGCCAUCUGAUUCUACACCUGCCAAACAACAUGACCUCAUCGGCACGGCACGUUUCCCAGUUACACCUGGACACAGAGAAAGACACUGACAAAGGCAUGAAGAGAAGCAAAAAAGAAUGAAAUCCGGGACCUGAAAAUUAUUUAUCUUCUUUUGUCAGCCCAUCAGAGAGAUCGUCGUUAGCCCUGUUUAAGCAUUUCAACAUCGGCUGGAUUGGCUCUUGAUUUGACUCUGAAGAGGCUGAGAGUGACAGAGAUGUGUGAAUGUCCCAGCAGAGGAUUCGAUCUGCACCGCAGGCCAAGUGUGCUGAAAUACACCGUUUAAUCUGCCAAUUAUCACUUGAUACAGCGAGCGCUUUUGAAGAAGAACUAAUCGUUGGAUUUGCCAAAGUUUGCCAUCAGGCAUGUGUUGCUGUGUUUGUAUUACGUUGCUUCAGUGUUCAUUUCAACUGGAACCUGCAGAAAUUCGUGUGUAGAGUCCUUGACGAGAGGACACGCUCGGUCGCAGCACCAGGCACCGCACAUCACCGGGCUCGCAUGACUUCAUCAGCGCUCCGCUUCAGUGCUGGGGAGCUCCACAUCAUGCAUAAACAUGAGCUGUCACUAUCACAGUGAGGCCCCAGAGAGCCCGAGCUGCCAGCCAAAAGCAGGACUGUGGACACAUGCUGCAGUGUGUGUGUGAUUUGGAGGAGUUUCAGGAAUGUGGAGCACAAGGCCGUGGUUGGUGCCGCGGUGUGCUUCGGCUCACAGUCGCAGUGGAUCAACACAUCUAGCUCAGAAAGCAAAUAGAGGCAUCUCUCACACUGUCCUGACAUCCUUACCAAAAAAUAUGAUCCGACUUCGAUUGGUAGAUGAUAAAAAUGGCCGGAAAAAAGUUACAUUUAUGACAUACUGUGUGAUGAAUAUGAGAUUAAAAGCCCUAAUUAUGAGACACAAAAUCAUUGUUAUGUGAUCUAAAGGUAAACAUAAAAAGACAUAAAUUGAAAUUAGGAGACAAAGCCAUAAUUAAAUCUCAAAACGGACAUAAAAAGUCAAAAUUCUGAGAUAAAAUGUUGAAUUUGACAUACUAAGUGAUGAUUAUAAUAUCUUGAAAAAUAACACAAUUAUGGGAUACUAUGUCAUAAUUAGGAGAUUACAGCCCAAAUUAUGAGAUAGUAAAUGAUAAGUAUGAUAUAAAAAUGGAAUUGACAUUAAAGUUGAAAUUAUGAAAUACAAAGCCAUAAUUCUGUCAAAUCUGACAUAUUAAGUCAGAACUGUGAAAAUAAAGUCCUAAAUAUUACAAAAUUGUGAGAUAAAAAGUUGAAUUUAUGACAUACUAAGUGAUGGUUAUGAUAUAGAAAAAAAAUAAUAGAAUACUGAAUUGUAAUUAUUAGAUAAAAAGCCUAAAUUAUAAGAUGCAAAGCAGUAAUUAUAAGUAAAAACUGACAAAUUAUGUUAUAACGUAGAUUUAAAAAAUCCAAUAUAAAAAAGUCAGAAUUAUGAGAUAAAAAGUUUAAUAUAUAACAAGCUGGUGUGGUGUUAUAAAAGCCCAAAUUAGGGGAUACGAAUUGAUCAUUCUGAGACAAAAUAAAAAAUUAUGACUUAAAACGUUGAAAUGAUGAGAUAAAAAGCCAUAAUUAUAAUAACUGAGGCAUUUUUACAUACUAAGUCAUUACUAAAAUGAUGUGUCUUAAUUAUGACAAAAAUGUAAAUUAAAAGAUUUUGAGAUUGGGAUCCAAAUCCAUAAUAAAUAAAACUUUUGAUUA